GUCUACGGCCACGCCACCCUGAACAAGCCCGAUCCCAUCUGAUCUCAGAAGCUAAGCAGGGUCGAGACUGGUUAGUACGCGGAUGGGAGACCACCUAGGAAGACCAGGUGCUGUAGGCA
rnacentral:rRNA from 1 species